rnacentral:rRNA from 1 species
CAGAGGGUGCGAGCGUUAAUCGGAAUUACUGGGCGUAAAGCGUGCGUAGACGGCUAUCUAAGUCGGGUGUGAAAGCCCCCGGGCUCAACCUGGGAAUUGCAUUCGAGACUGAAUAGGCUAGGGUACGGUAGAGGGAAGUGGAAUUUCCGGUGUAGCGGUGAAAUGCGUAGAUAUCGGAAGGAACAUCAGUGGCGAAAGCGACUUCCUGGACCAGUACCGACGUUCAGGCACGAAAGGCGUGGGGAGCAAACAGGAUUAGAUACCCUGGUAGUCCACGCCAUAAACGAUGAGGACUAGACGUUGGAGGGGUAAGCCUUUCAGUGUCGUAGCUAACGCGCUAAGUCCUCCGCCUGGGGGAGUACGGCCGCAAGGUUG